rnacentral:tRNA from 1 species
AUUCAUAUAGUUUAACAAAAACAUUACAUUUUCAAUGUAAAAAUAUAAUUUAUGGAUA